GGCUUAACACAUGCAAGUCGAACGCGUGUAGCAAUACACGAGUGGCGCACGGGUGAGUAACGCGUGGAUAUCUGCCUUUUGGUUCGGAAUAACCCCGGGAAACUGGGGCUAAUACCGGAUGGUUCCUUCGGGAUAAAGAUUUAUCGCCAAAAGAUGAGUCCGCGUACGAUUAGCUAGUUGGUGAGGUAAUGGCUCACCAAGGCGACGAUCGUUAGCUGGUCUGAGAGGACGAUCAGCCACACUGGGACUGAGACACGGCCCAGACUCCUACGGGAGGCAGCAGUGGGGAAUAUUGGACAAUGGGGGCAACCCUGAUCCAGCCAUGCCGCGUGAGUGAUGAAGGCCUUCGGGUUGUAAAGCUCUCUUGGCGGGGACGAUGAUGACGGUACCCGCAGAAUAAGCCCCGGCUAACUUCGUGCCAGCAGCCGCGGUAAGACGAAGGGGGCUAGCGUUGUUCGGAAUUACUGGGCGUAAAGCGAGUGUAGGUGGUUUUCCAAGUUGGAUGUGAAAGCCUUGGGCUUAACCCAAGAAAUGCAUUCAGGACUGGAAGACUAGAGGACCGGAGAGGAUAGUGGAAUUCCCAGUGUAGUGGUGAAAUACGUAGAGAUUGGGAAGAACACCAGAGGCGAAGGCGGCUAUCUGGACGGUUUCUGACACUAAGACUCGAAAGCGUGGGGAGCAAA
rnacentral:rRNA from 1 species